rnacentral:rRNA from 1 species
GGGUUGAUCAUGGCUCAGAUUGAACGCUAGCGGCAUGCCUAACACAUGCAAGUCGAACGGCAGCGGGGGAGCUUGGCUCCCUGACGGCAAGUGGCGGACGGGUGAGUAAUACAUUAGGAAUCUACCUUAUAGUGGGAUAACCUGGAAACUCAGGCUAAUACCGCACUCAAUCUUUUUAAAAGCAAAGCGGGGGAUCUUCGGACCUCGUGCUAUAAGAUGAGCCUGCGUCGGAUUAGCUAGUUGGGUAAAGGUGUGGCCUACCAAGGCAACAACAAUCCGUAGCUGGUCCUGAGAGGACGAUCAGCCACACUGGGACUGAGACACGGCCCAGACUCCUACGGGAGGCAGCAGUGGGGAAUAUUGGACAAUGGGGGAAACCCUGAUCCAGCAAUGCCGCGUGUGUGAAGAAGGCCUUCGGGUUGUAAAAGCACUUUCGGUGGGAAAGAAAGUCUCAAAGUUAAUACCUUUUGAGAGUUGACGUUACCCACAAAAGAAGCACUGGCUAACUCUGUGCCAGCAGCCAUGAUAAUACAGAGAGUGCAAGCGUUAAUCGGAAUUACUGGGCGUAAAGCGCGCGUAAAGGUGUAUUUAAGUCGAAUGUAGAAGCCUAAAACUAACCUAGGAACUGCAUCCGAUACUAAAUAUCUAGAGUAUGGUAGAGGGAAGUGGAAUUUCCGGUGUAGCGGUGAAAUGCGUAGAUAUCAGGAAAGAACACCAGUGGCGAAGGCGGCUUCCUAGACCAAUACUGACACUGAGGUGCGAAUGCGUGGGAGCAAACGGGAUUAGAGACCCUGGUAGUCCACGCCGUCAACGAUGAGAACUAGCUGUUAAAAAGUUUACUUUCUAGUAGCAAAGCCUAACGCGUUAAGUUCUCCGCCUGGGGAGUACGGCCGCAAGGUUAAAACUCAAAGAAAUUGACGGGGGCCCCGCACAAGCGGUGGAGCAUGUGGUUUAAUUCGAUGCAGCAUGAAAAACCUUACCUACCCUUGACAUCCUCGGAACUUGUCAGAGAUGACUUGGUGCCUUCGGGAACCGGUGACAGGUGCUGCAUGGCUGUCGACAGCUCGUGUCGUGAGAUGUUGGGUUAAGUCCCGUAACGAGCACAACCCUCGUCCUUAGUUGCCAGCGGUUCGGCCGGGAACUCUAAGGAAACUGCCAGCGAUAAACCGGAGGAAGGUGAGGAUGAUGUCAAGUCAUCAUGGCCCUUACGGGUAGGGCUACACACGUGCUACAAUGGGCAGUACAAAGGGUUGCUACAUCGUGAGGUAAAGCCCCAAUCCCAAAAAACUGUUCGUAGUCGGAUUAGGUCACAACUCAACUCCAUGAAGUUGGAAUCGCUAGUAAUCGCGAAUCAGAAUGUCGCGGUGAAUACGUUCUCGGGCCUUGUACACACCGCCCGUCACACCAUGGAAGUGGUGUACCAGAAGCGGGUAAGCUAACCCUCGAGCUGCUCACCACGGUAUGAUUCAUGACUGGGGUGA